UGUAGUAAAUGUGUUAAAUCGGAGAAAUAGGAACCAUGCAUUUCGCAUUUUUUCUUGGUGUUGGAAUAAUUUUGCUCCAAAAGGUGCUUUCAAAAUCCAUAAAUAAUGGAACAACAGUUGAAAAUAGAACGGAUGCCUUGGAAAAGUAUUUUGAAACAUUGUUGUCAAGGUUUAACAAUUUGAGUGACACAAUGAAUAACCUCCAAAAUAG
rnacentral:lncRNA from 1 species